UACGUAGGGGGGCAAGCGUUGUCCGGAUUUAUUGGGCGUAAAGAGCGUGUAGGCGGCCACACAGGUCUGCUGUGAAAACUCGAGGCUCAACCUCGAGCUGUCGGUGGAAACCGUGUGGCUAGAGUCCGGAAGAGGAGAGUGGAAUUCCCGGUGUAGCGGUGAAAUGCGCAGAUAUCGGGAAGAACACCCGUGGCGAAGGCGGCUCUCUGGGACGGUACUGACGCUGAGACGCGAAAGCGUGGGGAGCGAACAGG
rnacentral:rRNA from 1 species